GGAGUGAGGGUGGGCAGGCAGACACUUGCUUGCCCUUGCAGACUCUGAAGACGGAUGUAAUUUAUGCACAGAAUUUCAUGUAAUUUCGGUAGAGAGAGUUCAGGGCUGCCCAAGUCAGAAGAACUGUGGGUGCAACUUGCCCCAGCACACAGUCUUUCUGUAUGUGAAGUGUUUCAAGCUGAAACACUGCAUAUUUAGACUCCAACCACCAUGACCACUUCAAAAAAAAAAAAAGAAGAAAAACAAAGAAAUAAAUCAAUAGUGGUCAUUGUGGCUGAAAUAACCCUUGAAGAUGACAGUCAAACCCUGGGUGUCUGAGCCAGGACCUUCGGAUUUUAAAAUAUAUCCUGAAAAGCUGAAGGGUUAAUUUUGUACAAACUUACAACACAAUAUUAUACAAACUUCCCAUAAGCUGAAUGCUUAGCUAUUUUAUAUAUUUUCCCCCACUAGUUGUCACCAGCAGCAAGGUUUCAAGAAUAGGUAUCCAAUUAUCAAGUGCUGCAUUCUCCUCCGUACUUAAUUUGUUUGUACAUCCAACAUGGCACUAGGGGUAUGAUAAAUAUAUACUGGGUUAUUUAAUAAAGUUAGAAGUCAAGGUGAAUUCAAGCUGAAUUUCAAAUUUAAGUCCAAACAAAGCAUAGUUGACAUAAAGCUUGGCUUUUCUUACCUUAAAUUUGAAUUUACCUUUAAUGUUCUAUUUAGUAAAUAACCCUGAUAGACAUAAGGCAGUGGGUUUUGUUUUUUUGGCGGGGAGGAACGGGGGGGGGGAAGGGAGGAUGAGGAAAACAAUAGUGCAAUAAAUGUCAGUGUUAUAGAUAUGAGAUCUAUUCCAAAAUAGAAGACUUGACAACCAGUUGAAUAGAGAGAAUAUAGUUCCUUUAAAUAUCUUAGAUUACGAUAUUUAUUCAAUAUAAUCAAACCAUUUUUAGGGAAUUUCAAACGUCAGUGAUUAUACUCAAGGUAAAG